rnacentral:rRNA from 1 species
UAGGGAAUCUUCGGCAAUGGACGAAAGUCUGACCGAGCAACGCCGCGUGAGUGAAGAAGGUUUUCGGAUCGUAAAACUCUGUUGGUAGAGAAGAACGUUGGUGAGAGUGGAAAGCUCAUCAAGUGACGGUAACUACCCAGAAAGGGACGGCUAACUACGUGCCAGCAG